UGGUCAGUGAUGACUAGCCCACUGCGCAAUCUUAGUUCAUAUGAACAAUAUGGUAGAAAUAGUGCUGUGUGUUUCUGAGACCA